CAACCACCAACACAAAAGCGACGGCAACAACGGUCAUCGUUCAUACAAGACGAACCACCGCAAAAAUGCCGUGGAAAAUCCUUUCAAAAGCAGGCUAAACAGCGAGCUGCCGACAUGAACCAGCAACAUCCCGGCCCACGUGUUCAUGUUCCAAAGGCACUGAAUUGAAAAUACCGGUACUCCUACACAGGGAGGAAGGAGUACGUUUGAUCUGACGGCCAAAGUUAUCUUGAGUGUUGUCCUUCUUACRAGAACUUGAAAAAUACCGGGUCUGCUAAGGUGUGAACCACCUGCUGACCUGCCAGAGAAAGGAUGUAAAAAAGACACAACCACUUGGCUGUAGAGUUAGUCAUCAGCAGAGAGAUUACCAUUUGUGCCAGUUUGUAAAUUCUAUUAGAUUUGACUGCACAUUUGAAUAAUUACCAAUUCAAUGUUAUACUUUAACUUCCUAGCUCUGAUGCCGAACGCUCAUUUCCUUACUGUUAAUCAGCUUAUAAACUCUGAAACAUUGAUGUAUUUAACGUACGUCCUUGAGUUCUAAUAUAUAAUUGAGAUGUCUUUCUUCAAGUUCAAAA